rnacentral:rRNA from 1 species
GGAAUAUUGCACAAUGGGCGAAAGCCUGAUGCAGCAACGCCGCGUGGGGGAUGACGGCCUUCGGGUUGUAAACCUCUUUUAGUAGGGAAGAAGGACUUCGGUUUGACGGUACCUGCAGAAAAAGCACCGGCUAACUACGUGCCAGCAGCCGCGGUAAUACGUAGGGUGCAAGCGUUGUCCGGAAUUAUUGGGCGUAAAGAGCUCGUAGGCGGUUUGUCGCGUCUGCUGUGAAAACCCGAGGCUCAACCUCGGGCCUGCAGUGGGUACGGGCAGACUAGAGUGCGGUAGGGGAGAAUGGAAUUCCUGGUGUAGCGGUGGAAUGCGCAGAUAUCAGGAGGAACACCGAUGGCGAAGGCAGUUCUCUGGGCCGUUACUGACGCUGAGGAGCGAAAGCGUGGGGAGCGAACAGGAUUAGAUACCCGGG